rnacentral:tRNA from 1 species
GGGCCUGUAGCUCAGUUGGUUAGAGCAGGGGACUCAUAAUCCCUUGGUCCCUGGUUCGAAUCCAGGCGGGCCCACCA